UGGGGAAUAUUGGACAAUGGGGGGAACCCUGAUCCAGCCAUGCCGCGUGUGUGAAGAAGGCCUUUUGGUUGUAAAGCACUUUAAGCGAGGAGGAGGAGCUCUAGAUUAAUACUCUAGAUGCUUGGACGUUACUCGCAGAAUAAGCACCGGCUAACUCUGUGCCAGCAGCCGCGGUAAUACAGAGGGUGCAAGCGUUAAUCGGAUUUACUGGGCGUAAAGCGUGCGUAGGUGGUCUUUUAAGUCGGAUGUGAAAUCCCUGAGCUUAACUUAGGAAUUGCAUUCGAUACUGGGAGACUAGAGUAUGGGAGAGGAUGGUAGAAUUCCAGGUGUAGCGGUGAAAUGCGUAGAGAUCUGGAGGAAUACCGAUGGCGAAGGCAGCCAUCUGGCCUAAUACUGACACUGAGGUACGAAAGCAUGGGGAGCAAACA
rnacentral:rRNA from 3 species